rnacentral:rRNA from 1 species
UCUUCCGCAAUGGACGAAAGUCUGACGGAGCAACGCCCCGUGAGUGAUGAAGGCUUUUGGGUCGUAAAACUCUGUUGUAAGGGAAGAACAAGUGCUAGUUUAAUAAGCUGGCACCUUGACGGUACCUAACCAGAAAGCCACGGCUAACUACGUGCAAGGCGCCGCGGUAAUACGUAGGUGGCAAGCGUUAUCCGGAAUUAUUGGGCGUAAAGCGCGCGCAGGUGGUUUCUUAAGUCUGAUGUGAAAGCCCACGGCUCAACCGUGGAGGGUCAUUGGAAACUGGGAGACUUGAGUGCAGAAGAGGAAAGUGGGAUUCCAUGUGUAGCGGUGAAAUGCGUAGAGAUAUGGAGGAACACCAGUGGCGAAGGCGACUUUCUGGUCUGUAACUGACACUGAGGCGCGAAAGCGUGGGGAGCAAACAGG